rnacentral:rRNA from 1 species
AUUGAACGCUGGCGGAAUGCUUUACACAUGCAAGUCGAACGGCAGCACGGAGCUUGCUCUGGUGGCGAGUGGCGAACGGGUGAGUAAUAUAUCGGAACGUACCCAAGAGUGGGGGAUAACGUAGCGAAAGUUACGCUAAUACCGCAUACGAUCUAAGGAUGAAAGCAGGGGAUCGCAAGACCUUGUGCUCCUGGAGCGGCCGAUAUCUGAUUAGCUAGUUGGUGAGGUAAAGGCUCACCAAGGCAUCGAUCAGUAGCUGGUCUGAGAGGACGACCAGCCACACUGGAACUGAGACACGGUCCAGACUCCUACGGGAGGCAGCAGUGGGGAAUUUUGGACAAUGGGGGCAACCCUGAUCCAGCAAUGCCGCGUGAGUGAAGAAGGCCUUCGGGUUGUAAAGCUCUUUUGUCAGGGAAGAAACGGUGAAGGCUAAUAUCCUUUGCUAAUGACGGUACCUGAAGAAUAAGCACCGGCUAACUACGUGCCAGCCGCCGCAGUAA